GCUGUUCCAAAUCCUACACCUGACGUGACGUUGCUGUUUAUGAUAGUGCGGUAUGUCAGCUGUCACUCCGCGCACACUGGACCCUGUCCAUGACUUUCAUGGUCUCAUGCCUGAUGCAACAGAAGAAACCAUAGAUUUCAUUUCUUGUUCACCUCUUCAAGAAGAACUGCUCUGGAGAUGCAGAAACAAGCCCUGGCCAGCAGCAGGCAGGCGAUGCAAAGGAGACGAAGACGAUGGGAUGCUGGUCCUUUUUAACAAACUGCAAAUUCAUUCAAGCUGUCAU